rnacentral:rRNA from 1 species
GUACACUCCUACGGGAGGCAGCAGUGGGGAAUAUUGGACAAUGGGCGCAAGCCUGAUCCAGCCAUGCCGCGUGAGUGAUGAAGGCCCUAGGGUUGUAAAGCUCUUUCACCGGUGAAGAUAAUGACGGUAACCGGAGAAGAAGCCCCGGCUAACUUCGUGCCAGCAGCCGCGGUAAUACGAAGGGGGCUAGCGUUGUUCGGAUUUACUGGGCGUAAAGCGCACGUAGGCGGACUAUUAAGUCAGGGGUGAAAUCCCGGGGCUCAACCCCGGAACUGCCUUUGAUACUGGUAGUCUUGAGUUCGAGAGAGGUGAGUGGAAUUCCGAGUGUAGAGGUGAAAUUCGUAGAUAUUCGGAGGAACACCAGUGGCGAAGGCGGCUCACUGGCUCGAUACUGACGCUGAGGUGCGAAAGCGUGGGGAGCAAACAGGAUUAGAAACCCGAGUAGUCCCAUGA